rnacentral:piRNA from 1 species
UCACUCAUUUGUAUGUUAAGA